rnacentral:tRNA from 1 species
ACCUGACUAGCUUAGUGGGUAGAGCAUUAGACUCUUAAUCUCAGAGUUGCGGUUUUGACCCCCACGUUGGGCU